rnacentral:rRNA from 1 species
CCUACGGGUGGCAGCAGUGGGGAAUAUUGGGCAAUGGGCGCAAGCCUGACCCAGCAACGCCGCGUGAAGGAAGAAGGCUUUCGGGUUGUAAACUUCUUUUCUCAGGGACGAAGCAAGUGACGGUACCUGAGGAAUAAGCCACGGCUAACUACGUGCCAGCAGCCGCGGUAAUACGGAGGUGGCAAGCGUUAUCCGGAUUUACUGGGUUUAAAGGGCGUGUAGGCGGGACUGUAAGUCAGAUGUGAAAACCAUGGGCUCAACCUAUGGCCUGCCUUUGAAACUGUAGUUCUUGAGUACUGGAGAGGCAGACGGAAUGCCUAGUGUAGCGGUGAAAUGCGUAGAUAUUAGGAGGAACACCAGUGGCGAAGGCGGUUUGCUGGACAGCAACUGACGCUGAGGCGCGAAAGCGUGGGGAGCAAACAGGAUUAGAUACCCGUGUAGUC